rnacentral:rRNA from 1 species
GAUGAACGCUGGCGGCGUGCCUAAUACAUGCAAGUCGAGCGAACAGACCAGGUUCUUGUUCCUCUUUCGUUGUCGGCGGAUGGGUGAGUAACACGUGGCUAACCUCCCUAUAGGCCUGGGCUUACUUCUGGAACCCGGAGCCAAUACCGGAUUAUAUAUUGAACCGCAUGGUUCUAUAUUUAAAGGCGGUUUUUCUUUUACUUAUUGAUGAUUCCGCGCCGCCUUAGCUAGUUGGUAAGGUAACGGCUUACCAAGGCAACGAUGGGUAGCAGACCUGCGGGUGUGAUGGGCGACAGUGGAACUGAGACAGGGACAAGGCUCCGACGGGAGGGAGCAGUAGGGAAUCUGACGAAAUGGGCGAAGGCGUAACGGAGAAGCGCCGCGUGAGUGAGGAAGGUCUUCGGAUCGUAGAACUCUGUUAUUAGGGACCAACAAAUGUGUAAGUAACUAUGAACGUCUUGACGGUACCUAAACAGAAAGCAACGGCUAACUACGUG